CCCAUAGAAAUGAAAUUCUCAUUUGCUUUAUCAUAGGUGGGGCCCAUUGAAACAAAAUUUUCAUGUCCCUCGCUAAAGGAAUGAGCCAUUGAAAUGACAUUGCUGUCAUCCUUUUCAUAUGAUGGGCCCAUUGUUAUAAAGUUGGCAUCCGCCUUGUCAAAGGGCUGCCCCAUUGAUAAGAUACCGUCAUCUCCCUUGUUAUAAUUGUGUCCCAUCGAUAUGAAAUUUUCAUCUCCCUUGUUGAAGGUAUGGCCCAUUGUAAUGAAAUUGCCAUCUGCCUUACUGAAGUUGGGGCCAAUUGAGAUGGUAUUCUCCGCCGCAUUAUUAUAAGUUGGACCCAAAGAUAUGGCAUUGCUUUCAUUCUUACUAUAGGUAGUACCCAUUGAAAUCGCAUUGCUAUCUGAUCGGCUAGUGGAGUUCCCCAUGGAUGCAGAAAUGGCAUUGCUGGAGCCCCUAACUUGAUUGAUUUUAACUUUUCUGAGUCCACCAAAAUUGAUACAUCCUGAGGGAUCCUCAAUGUUAUGAGACAUAGACAAACUCAUAGAGGAAUUGCUACCAUAUUGAUCAUUGAAUUCCUUUCUUCCCAUAUUUAUGUUCAUAUUUCCACCCCCAGCAGAAGGAACAUUUCUAUCGACCAUAUUGUUGGUCCGCACAGCCUCUGACCCAAAUAGGCGGUCACUGAAUUGCCCUGAAACUGACUGAAAACUGGAAGCAUUAUGCCAUGGAGAAAUGUUCAUGUGAGAAGUUCCCAAAACUGGCCUGUUACCAUCGGCUUCAACUGCUUGCCGUUUGUUGCUGAAUAAUUCUGGUUCAGUGGUAUCCAUGAACCACUGAUGUCCACGCUUUGGUUCAAUUCUUGUGGAACUAUCAUAACCUAUCUCUCCAUCAGUUAGACACCCUGCAUCUCUUGACAUCCAAAAGCUUUUGUGCUGGAAAGACAUUUUCG
rnacentral:misc_RNA from 1 species